GUAGGUGGCAAGCGUUGUCCGGAAUUAUUGGGCGUAAAGCGCGCGCAGGCGGUUCUUUAAGUCUGAUGUGAAAGCCCACGGCUCAACCGUGGAGGGUCAUUGGAAACUGGAGAACUUGAGUACAGAAGAGGAAAGCGGAAUUCCACGUGUAGCGGUGAAAUGCGUAGAGAUGUGGAGGAACACCAGUGGCGAAGGCGGCUUUCUGGUCUGUAAUUGACGCUGAGGCGCGAAAGCGUGGGGAGCAAACAGGGAUUAGAUACCCUGGUAGUCCACGCCGUAAACGAUGAGUGCUAAGUGUUAGGGGGUUUCCGCCCCCUUAGUGCUGCAGCUAACGCAUUAAGCACUCCGCCUGGGGAGUACGGCCGCAAGGCUG
rnacentral:rRNA from 1 species